rnacentral:rRNA from 1 species
AUUGAACGCUGGCGGCAGGCCUAACACAUGCAAGUCGAGCGGAAGGGGCUUCGGCCCUGAGAGCGGCGGACGGGUGAGGAGAGCGUGGGAAUCUGCCUGUAGAUGGGGGAUGGCCCGGAGAAAUCCGGAUCGAUACCGCAUAAUACCUGAGGGUUAAAGUGGAGGAUCGCAAGACUUCACGUCUACAGAUGAGCCCACGUCAGAUUAGCUAGUUGGUAGGGUAAAGGCCUACCAAGGCGACGAUCUGUAGCUGGCCUGAGAGGGUGGCCAGCCACACUGGAACUGAGACGCGGUCCAGACUCCUACGGGAGGCAGCAGUGGGGAAUAUUGGACAAUGGGCGCAAGCCUGAUCCAGCCAUGCCGCGUGUGUGAAGAAGGCCUUCGGGUUGUAAAGCACUUUAAGUUGGGAGGAAGGUUCCUUGGCUAAUAUCCAAGGGAAUUGACGUUACCGACAGAAUAAGCACCGGCUAAUUCCGUGCCAGCCGCCGCAGUAA